rnacentral:rRNA from 1 species
UACGUAGGGGGCGAGCGUUGUCCGGAGUUACUGGGCGUAAAGCGCACGCAGGCGGUCUGCUAAGUUUGGAGUGACAGUUGGUGGCUUAACUGCCAAAGUGCUUCGAAAACUGACAGACUUGAGGGCUUCAGAGGGACACGGAAUUCCGGGUGGAGUGGUGAAAUGCGUAGAGAUCCGGAGGAACACCAAAGGCGAAGGCAGUGACCUGGGGAGUACCUGACGCUCAGGUGCGAAAGCCAGGGGAGCGAACGGG